CGAGGCCGAAAGGCGUAGUCGAUGGGAAACGGGUUAAUAUUCCCGUACUUCUUACAAUUGCGAUGGGGGGGACGGAGAAGGCUAGGUGGGCCUGGCGACGGUUGUCCAGGUUCAAGUGCGUAGGCUUAAGAGUUAGGUAAAUCCGGCUCUUUUUAAGGCUGAGACACGACGUCGAGCACCUACGGGUGUGAAGUCAUUGAUGCCAUGCUUCCAGGAAAAGCCUCUAAGCUUCAGAUUGUAAGGAAUCGUACCCCAAACCGACACAGGUGGUCGGGUAGAGAAUACCAAGGCGCUUGAGAGAACUCGGGUGAAGGAACUAGGCAAAAUGGUACCGUAACUUCGGGAGAAGGUACGCUCUCGACGGUGAAGUCCCUCGCGGAUGGAGCUAUUGAGAGUCGCAGAUACCAGGUGGCUGCAACUGUUUAUUAAAAACACAGCACUGUGCAAAAUCGUAAGAUGACGUAUACGGUGUGACGCCUGCCCGGUGCCGGAAGGUUAAUUGAUGGGGUUAGACUUC
rnacentral:rRNA from 1 species